GGAGUUAGCCGGUGCUUCUUCUGUGAGUGAUGUCCUUCCUGCCGGCUAUUAACCCGCAGGCCUUCUUCCUCACUGAAAGUGCUUUACAACCCGAAGGCCUUCUUCACACACGCGGCAUGGCUGGAUCAGGGUUGCCCCCAUUGUCCAAUAUUCCCCACUGCUGCCUCCCGUAGGAGUCUGGGCCGUGUCUCAGUCCCAGUGUGGCUGAUCAUCCUCUCAGACCAGCUACGGAUCGUCGCCUUGGUGAGCCGUUACCUCACCAACCAGCUAAUCCGACAUAGGCUCAUCCGAUAGCGCGAGGCCCGAAGGUCCCCCGGNUUUCCCCCGUAGGGCGUAUGCGGUAUUAGCCUGGGUUUCCCCCAGGUUAUCCCCCGACUACCGGGCAGAUUCCUAUGCAUUACUCACCCGUCCGCCGCUCGCCACCAGGGAGCAAGCUCCCGUGCUGCCGCUCGACUUGCAUGUGUUAGGCCUGCCGCCAGCGUUCAAUCUGAGCCAGGAUCAAACUCUGA
rnacentral:rRNA from 1 species